rnacentral:rRNA from 1 species
UACGAAGGGAGCUAGCGUUGUUCGGAAUCACUGGGCGUAAAGCGCACGUAGGCGGAUGUGUCAGUCAGGGGUGAAAUCCCGGAGCUCAACUUCGGAACUGCCUUUGAUACAGCACAUCUGGGAGUCCGGAAGAGGUGGGUGGAAUUCCUAGUGUAGAGGUGAAAUUCGUAGAUAUUAGGAAGAACACCGGUGGCGAAGGCGGCCCACUGGUCCGGUACUGACGCUGGAGGUGCGGAAAGCGUGGGGAGCAAACACGG